GAUGAACGCUGGCGGCGUGCCUAAUACAUGCAAGUCGAGCGAACGGACGAGAAGCUUGCUUCUCUGAUGUUAGCGGCGGACGGGUGAGUAACACGUGGAUAACCUACCUAUAAGACUGGGAUAACUUCGUGAAACCGGAGCUAAUACCGGAUAAUAUUUUGAACCGCAUGGUUCAAAAGUGAAAGACGGUCUUGCUGUCACUUAUAGAUGGAUCCGCGCUGCAUUAGCUAGUUGGUAAGGUAACGGCUUACCAAGGCAACGAUGCAUAGCCGACCUGAGAGGGUGAUCGGCCACACUGGAACUGAGACACGGUCCAGACUCCUACGGGAGGCAGCAGUAGGGAAUCUUCCGCAAUGGGCGAAAGCCUGACGGAGCAACGCCGCGUGAGUGAUGAAGGUCUUCGGAUCGUAAAACUCUGUUAUUAGGGAAGAACAGAUGUGUAAGUAACUGUGCACAUCUUGACGGUACCUAAUCAGAAAGCCACGGCUAACUACGUG
rnacentral:rRNA from 1 species